rnacentral:rRNA from 1 species
ACAGCAGUCGCCGCGGUAAUACAGAGGGUGCGAGCGUUAAUCGGAUUUACUGGGCGUAAAGCGUGCGUAGGCGGCUUCUUAAGUCGGAUGUGAAAUCCCUGAGCUUAACUUAGGAAUUGCAUUCGAUACUGGGAAGCUAGAGUAUGGGAGAGGAUGGUAGAAUUCCAGGUGUAGCGGUGAAAUGCGUAGAGAUCUGGAGGAAUACCGAUGGCGAAGGCAGCCAUCUGGCCUAAUACUGACGCUGAGGUACGAAAGCAUGGGGAGCAAACAGGAUUAGAUACCCGUAGUCCCUGUCUCUUAUACAC